GCAGUGAAAUGGUUCUAGUGACUGGUUAACAAAACCACAGGUCUCUGCUAAGCCGUAAGGCGAUGUAUAGGGGCUGACGCCUGCCCAGUGCCGGAAGGUUAAGGGGAGAGGUUAGCGCAAGCGAAGCUUUGAACCGAAGCCCCGGUGAACGGCGGCCGUAACUAUAACGGUCCUAAGGUAGCGAAAUUCCUUGUCGGGUAAGUUCCGACCCGCACGAACGGCGUAACAACUAGAGCACUGUCUCAACGAGGGACCCGGCGAAAUUGAAAUGGCUGUGAAGAUGCGGCCUACCCGCAGCAGGACAAAAAGACCCCGUGGAGCUUUACUGCAAUUUGGCAUUGAGUUUGGGUAUGGUUUGUGUAGGAUAGGUGGGAGGCUAUGAAGCUGGAGCGCUAGCUUCGGUGGAGCCAACGGUGAAAUACCACCCUGACGAUACUUAGACCCUAACUUUCGACCUUAAUCAGGCGAGAGGACCGUGCCAGAUGGGCAGUUUGACUGGGGCGGUCGCCUCCUAAAAGGUAACGGAGGCGCCCAAAGGUUCCCUCAGGCUGAAUGGAAACCAGCCGGAGAGUGUAAAGGCACAAGGGAGCUUGACUGCAAGACCAACGCGUCGAGCAGAGACGAAAGUCGGGCUUAGUGAUCCCACGGUACUGAGUGGAAGGGCCGUGGCUUACCGGACAAAAGCUACCCCGGGGAUAACAGGCUGGUGAAGUCCAAGAGUUCAUAUCGACGACUUCGCUCGGCACCUCGAUGUCGGCUCAUCGCAUCCUGGGGCUGUACAAGGUCCCAAGGGUCGGGCUGUUCGCCCGUUAAAGCGGUACGCGAGCUGGGUUCAGACCGUCGUGAGACAGGUCGGUCUCUAUCCGCUGUGGGCGUAAGGGAUUUGAGAGGAGCUGCCCCUAGUACGAGAGGACCGGGGUGGACAGACCUCUGGUGUGCCAGUUGUCGUGCCAACGGCAUUGCUGGGUAGCUACGUCUGGCAGAGAUAACCGCUGAAAGCAUCUAAGUGGGAAACUCGCCUCAAGAUGAGAUCCCUGUAAUCCCGAAAGGGAGUAAGGACGCAGGUAGACUACCUGCUUGAUAGGCGGCGUGUGUAAGUGCAGUAAUGCACGUAGCUAAGCCGUACUAAUGUCCGAGGGCUUUCGCGC
rnacentral:rRNA from 1 species